GCGGCUAGUGGCUUUCAUCCCUGGCUGUGAUGGGCGUCUCUCUCUCUUCUGAGUUCUUGAGGUUUUGUUGACUGAUCAAGGACGGGCGGGCAGCAAAGUAUUGAUGAACUUCAACAGGUUAGAAGGAUGAAAGGACAAGACCAAACUUUAUAUCUUUCUUGAGCUUGCAACUGAAGGUUCACUUUUAAAUCUCUAUCAAAAGCAUAAACUGUCAGACUCCCAAGCCUCUAAAUACACAAGGCAGAUUGUGAAAGGUUUGAAUUAUCUACAUGAGCAUAAUGUAGUUCACAGGAGAGUUUUUGGGUCAUGAUUACAGAAUGGAAACCUGAAAAUUGAAAGAAUCCUAAUGCAAAAGCCAUUUACAAUGCUACAAACUCUCUCUCUCUCUCUCUCUCUCAUGUGAUUGAGAUGGUAAAUGGAAUAACUAGCAAGGCUAGAACCAUGGAGGGAUGUGAUCAUGGGACUCAGAAGUACCACAAGUAGGUCAUAAGGGAAAUUAGGCUUAUUGAUUUGGUCAUGCGCAACAAAGGCCAAUAAUUGCAUUGUUAAGAAGAAAUGGGUGGACAUUGGGAAUCAAUUGAGGUUACUUCAGGAAAUUAGACAUUUGGAAUGACAGUUGAAGCCACAAUGUUGUACAUUUACUUACACAUAAAUUGUUUCUGUUGUAAGACUAAUUGGUUCUGUAUCAUCUUCGAGGGAUAUCUGGUGGAUGUAAAUGGAACCGUGAAACUUGUGGAUUUUGGAUUGGCAAAGUUUUGCAAAUUGAACAACAUAAAAUCUUUUAAAGGGACUGCAUUCCGGAUGGCCCCUGAGGUGGUUGCAUCAGAAAAGGAAAUGACAUGAUUGAAUUGGGUUAUUGAAUAGCUCGAUUAUUGGACUGGAGCUAUCCCAACUAACAAAUUGAUAAGUUGUUGUUUUCCAAACUGUUGCUCUUUCUAAGAUUUUAUCCUACAAGGCAUUUAGUCAAUGCCAUGUCUUAUUACCAAUGCAUUUUCAUUUUGCAUCAGUCAUUAGUAUCUUUCUGUACAACUGCCAAUAUACUGACACUAAUAGAUGCAUGGAACCACUGAAUGCUCAAUUGAUGAGGAUUUUCCAUUCAAAUCUGAGAAUUUAAGCAUCAAGCUACCUUUUUCCA